rnacentral:rRNA from 1 species
CCGGUGUCCAUUCUUGCAGUCGAGCGGACAGAUGGGAGCUUGCUCCCUGAUGUCAGCGGCGGACGGGUGAGUAACACGUGGGUAACCUGCCUGUAAGACUGGGAUAACUCCGGGAAACCGGGGCUAAUACCGGAUGCUUGAUUGAACCGCAUGGUUCAAUUAUAAAAGGUGGCUUUUAGCUACCACUUACAGAUGGACCCGCGGCGCAUUAGCUAGUUGGUGAGGUAACGGCUCACCAAGGCAACAAUGCGUAGCCAACCUGAGAGGGUGAUCGGCCACACUGGGACUGAAACACGGCCCAACCUCCUACGGGAGGCAGCAGUAGGGAAUCUUCCGCAAUGGACGAAAGUCUGACGGAGCAACGCCGCGUGAGUGAUGAAGGUUUCCGGAUCGUAACACGGUACCCAAU